CCUGUAGGUGAACCUGCGGAGGGAUCAUUACCGAGUUUACAACUCCCAAACCCCUGUGAACAUACCAAUUGUUGCCUCGGCGGAUCAGCCCGCUCCCGGUAAAACGGGACGGCCCGCCAGUGGACCCCUAAACUCUGUUUCUAUAUGUAACUUCUGAGUAAAACCAUAAAUAAAUCAAAACUUUCAACAACGGAUCUCUUGGUUCUGGCAUCGAUGAAGAACGCAGCAAAAUGCGAUAAGUAAUGUGAAUUGCCAGAAUUCAGUGAAUCAUCGAAUCUUUGAACGCACAUUGCGCCCGCCAGUAUUCUGGCGGGCAUGCCUGUUCGAGCGUCAUUUCAACCCUCAAGCCCCCGGGUUUGGUGUUGGGGAUCGGCGAGCCCUUGCGGCAAGCCGGCCCCGAAAUCUAGUGGCGGUCUCGCUGCAGCUUCCAUUGCGUAGUAGUAAAACCCUCGCAACUGGUACGCGGCGCGGCCAAGCCGUUAAACCCCCAACUUCUGAAUGUUGACCUCGGAUCAGGUAGGAAUACCCGCUGAACUUAAGCAUAUCAAUAAGCGGA
rnacentral:rRNA from 1 species